UUAAUCUUUGCAUUUCGGCUUUGAAUGACUUCCAGCUAUCAGGUUUACAACCGUAUGUAAUCCCUAUCCAAUACAACAAUACUAUUUCUCUUCUCAGCGCUAUAACACUUAUUUCUCUAGCUCUUAUCAUAGCUAAACUAAUCUACCUUAUCCUACUAUUCUGUCUCUUUCAUGAUGAGGAUAUUUUGAGGUUCCAUAGAGAUACUUUGUUUCUUAUAGUGCUCGUUUGACAGAGAGACGGUGGAAAAUGUGAUGUUUAGAAAAAGUACAACCUAAAUGAGAUAAGUGGACUAUAAUAGAAGAAAGUCCAAGGAAAAAGGAAACGAAGGAAAUCCGCUCCAAAUGGAAUAAGUGGACUGUAAUCGAUGAAGGUCAAAUUCAUUUUCGAGGUUCCCUUUCUCCGUUCGAGGACGGGACUUCCCUGCAGGAAGUGGAAAGACUUUCAGUUUCGUAAUGUGGAGAUACGCGCGGUACUUCGUCUCUUCUCCUGCGAACCGAUGUGACCAGAGCCAUUAUUGCUUUUUUAUAUUUUGUGGAUCAUCGAACAAAAACGUGGUGUUCAUUAUAACUCCCAGAGCUCACGUUCAGAUAAAUGAAUUCAACCAGCAACAGAAUAAACGCAGUUCGGAUAAAGACUUCUUCUGUACAGAGAGACAGUGCUGUGUUUCAAUAUUAAUGUGAAGUAACUGUCCAUAUCAAAACAAUGUCGAACUAUGUCAAACGACGUCAAGCAACAUGAAACAUCAUCAUGAACAUGAUGAAGACAUCAUCAUCAUGAAGACACGUGAAGGGAACUGAAGCGUGAGAAUGUCCUCGCAUGAGAACCGCUGGCAAUGAGGAAUCGCUAGGAAGAGCGGACGAUUUUAAUCGCUGGCUUCAGGAUGGGACAUCGCAAACAGACAUCAUGAAGAGUAACAACGACCGAGCACGUAACCAACCGCGUAAGUCUGGUGAAUGGGAAAAGGAGAAGCCCGUUGUGUAUAUGCCUGUAUGUAUUGGUAUAAACACGUGUCGUUGCGUUAUAUACGUGUGGACCAGUCAACGCCGGACGUCCCACUAAGAGUACGAAACGCUCGAAGGUAGAAAGGUUCGUAGAUUCUUUCGUCCCGAUCGAAAUGCGGAACGUCCAUGGGAACAUGGAGUAGAAUCCCAAAGCGAGUAAAAAGCGACAGUGCAUUAGAAAGGGAAUUUUCAGUAAAUCGAAAUUCAGCCGGGCAUCAAGCGAUGCGUGGAAACUGUUUCUUUUGUCAUUCGUUAUAUUUUUUUUUCUUUCAUAGCCAUUAUAUUUUUUAAUGUACUGUAUAUUAUAUAUUUGUGAUCUUUUGGGUUUCAAUCGUGUUAUUAGUACAUCGCGCUUGUUCUGAGAUUUCGUGAAUAUUCUAGUUCACGUUUUCAGGGCAGAUAGAAAAUGAUUUUUUGAAAAUGAUUUCCCAGGCCGUGAGAAAUUUAAAUCAAAGUCUGAAAUAGAAAUUUUGGUUUAUAGAAUUGUAUUCUGAAUAGCGUGUUUCGUACUUUGUACUGUUUUUUAUACAGUUAGAUACUAGGUAGUGAGAUCGAUAUGAAGAGAAAGCUUUUUUGUCUCAUGAACGAUUUAGGUUGAAUUGGCAGUGAGCAUUUUGAUUUUAAAAGGUAAGAGUUUUGAACAGUGUGAUUUAUGGUGAAGUAUACGUUAAGUAAUAGGAUUACUGCGAAAUAGAAUCUCUCUUUCUCAUAAAAUGAAUCUCUUCUUUCUUGUUCUUUUAUAAUACAUACAGUUGGAAGUACACCGUGACAAAUGGUAGAAAUUGAAACACAUAUCCCUCUCUCCAAUAUAAUUACUCUUUUUUCAUUAUCACUACUUUAUUUCCUAUGUAAUAUGAAAUGGCAAAGCCAUAAAACGGCAAAUGGAUUUGAAAAUUAAAAGAGGAAAGUAUAAGGAAAGAAGAAAAAGUUUAAUGAUUGGAGAUUGUUUUAUGGCUCGAUGGAUUUGAGAGUGAAACUUUUUCAAAGAUGAACCAUGAAUAAGUGCAACUACGAAGAAUGCAUGUGAAACGGUCAUGGGAACAUGGAGUAGAAUCUUAAAGACAAUGAAAAGCGACAGUGUGUUAGAAAGGUAUUCAAAUACUUUCAUGAGCCAGUGUAGAACCUCGAUGCCUGAAAACAUACAAAUCUUAAAUCUUAAAAAUAUUUAUAAAAAAAAAAAAAAUAACGUCGCAGAGAAACAGAAACGCAGAAGUAAGCGCAAUUGUAACGAUGUCGAGACCACUCGACGGAAUAAAACUUUUUUUUUUAUCAGAUCUGUAUGUGAAACGGAGUCAUGGGAAAACAGGGCAGAAUCUCAGAGAGUUAGAGCCGCCUUACAAAAGAGAGACAUUGCAAGCGCGUUGGAAAGGAAGUUUUGUGGAAUGAGGCUUGUCAGCGACGUUUUGCGGUCCAAAUGGUAUUCUCUUAUACGGUAAACAUUCUAGGAAAAGUCCAGGGCAGUGAAGGGAUUUUUCUGCUAUUUAGAAGCUAUUAUAAAGGAAAUUAAAGGUGUUUAGAAUGAUGGAUGGCAGUUCGAAUACCUUAUUGAAUAGAAUUGGCUGAAAGAAUGGCGUGACAAAAAUGGACAAAGUUUAAACACCUUUGGACACAGGAGAAAGGCAAAUACUCUAAAAAUAGGAUUAAUUACUUAAGUAUAAAAUGCUAAAUUCUUUUCAAUUUUACCAUUAUAACUUAAGAAACUCAAAUACAUUAACUACAUGUCAGAGGUAAACGCUAAAACUAAAGUAAAUUAAUUGAAUCCAGGAAAAAAAGAAGAAAUUAAUUAAACUCUGAUUGGAAAAAUUCCAUUAAAACACGAUUAAAAAACCAGUUCAAACUAACGAAGAUCUAUUAAUGCGCUUUCCCUUCUAUGAACGAACAAUUAUAUCAAUUAAAUACAACAAAUCAUUCAACAGAUCAUGACGUCAACUUAACGAGCCAUCAUAGCCGCAACAAAUUCGGUUUCCACCGCAGACAGUCGUCCAUUUAUUAAACCGUAAAGCAUAAAUCCUUUUCCAUAGUCUCAAAUCUAUUCAUUCACUAUCACGGCGAUCAUCGGCGAUCAUCCUGUGAAAAACAUUGGGUCAAGAGGCCUAGGAAACUUAUUUUUAGUUUUUUAGGCGCAGUUAAUUUUCAGCAAAAGUCCAUAACAAACACUUGGCUGUAAUUGAUCAAGAUAGCCAUCAAAGUGCUAAUCAACAAGUCUAAUCAACAGAUUCUAUGAUCAACAAAAGCAGCUAAGUAAUUAUACUUGGUUAAAAAAGUGAAAGAAAUUCCGAUAUUGUGUAAAUUACAAAAUAACACAAUCGGUUGCAAUAUAACGUAUAUUUUAAAAAUUAGCAAUUUCAUUGAAGUUACUGAAUAGUAUGCAGUAUAGCUGAAGGCAAAAUAUUCGAACUCGAAUUCGUCCAUUGGUUUCGUAUUAGCAAAUAGAAAGGAUGAAUAUCUGAAAUAAGAUCGAAAGUAGAAUCGAGGCAAUCAAGGUCAGACUAUACGUCGAACCUUUUGAGGUCAGAAUAACUCCCUUUUUUGUACUUCAGAUGUUAUUUAUUUCUAUCGCAAAUAUGUCUAUAUUAUUAUUAUUAUUAUUAUUAUUAAUUUAUACAAGCGAAGGUUCUUUAAAUAAUGUAAUAGUGCGUAAUUUUGUAUACAGGUAUUUUCAAAUUCAACCUGAUCCACGAAAAGUUUAUAAACUAAUUAUUAAAAAAUCAAAG